rnacentral:tmRNA from 1 species
GGGGCUGCAUUGGUUUCGACGUGGGUUCGGACACGCAGCAGGGCAUGUCGAGGUUCUGUCACCUCGUUAAACCGCAGAAAAAAACUAACUGCAAACGACGAACGUUUCGCACUCGCCGCUUAAUCCGGCGAGCCUUGCAACAGCAGGCCGAUAGGCUGGGCAAGGGUGGCCGCAAGGCUGUCCUCGCUGCAAGGGAAUUUUUAUCGGCUGGCCCGGCGCCGGGUACCUUGGCGCGGGGUGAGACUCAAGGGUACUGGCGGGUUGCGUAGCGUGUCGCUGCGCGGCGCAACCGGCGAGAUUCAAAACAGACGACUACACAUGUAGAACUGCGCGAAGAAGGCUUGCGGACGGGGGUUCGAGUCCCCCCAGCUCCACCA